GUUCUUUUUCUACAUGUCCGGAUGAUGUUUGUUAGGGGGUUCUCUGUCUUCUACAUAGUUGGAUGAUGUUUGUUAGGGGGUUCUCUGUCUUCUACAUAGUUGGAUGAUGUUUGUUAGGGGGUUCUCUGUCUUCUUCUGGGUUGGAUGAUGUUUGUUAGGGGGUGCUCUGUCUUCUACAUAGUUGGAUGAUGUUUGUUAGGGGGUUCUCUGUCUUCUUCUGGGUUGGAUGAUGUUUGUUAGGGGGUGCUCUGUCUUCUACAUAGUUGGAUGAUGUUUGUUAGGGGAUUCUCUGUCUUCUACAUAGUUGGAUGAUGUUUGUUAGGGGGUUCUCUGUCUUCUGGGUUGGAUGAUGUUUGUUAGGGGGUUCUCUGUCUUCUUCUGGGUUGGAUGAUGUUUGUUAGGGGGGGUUCUCUGUCUUCUUCUGGGUUGGAUGAUGUUUGUUAGGGGGUUCUCUGUCUUCUUCUGGGUUGGAUGAUGUUUGUUAGGGGGUUCUCUGUCUUCUACAUAGUUGGAUGAUGUUUGUUAGGGGGUUCUCUGUCUUCUUCUGGGUCGGAUGAUGUUUGUUAGGGGAUUCUCUGUCUUCUUCUGGGUUGGAUGAUGUUUGUUAGGGGGUUCUCUGUCUUCUACAUAGUUGGAUGAUGUUUGUUAGGGGAUUCUCUGUCUUCUUCUGGGUUGGAUGAUGUUUGUUAGGGGGAUUCUCUGUCUUCUACAUAGUUGGAUUAUGUUUGUUAGGGGGUUCUCUGUCUUCUACAUAGUUGGAUGAUGUUUGUUAGGGGAUUCUCUGUCUUCUUCUGGGUUGGAUGAUGUUUGUUAGGGGAUUCUCUGUCUUCUGGGUUGGAUGAUGUUUGUUAGGGGGUUCUCUGUCUUCUACAUAGUUGGAUGAUGUUUGUUAGGGGAUUCUCUGUCUUCUUCUGGGUUGGAUGAUGUUUGUUAGGGGGUUCUCUGUCUUCUACAUAGUUGGAUGAUGUUUGUUAGGGGAUUCUCUGUCUUCUUCUGGGUUGGAUUAUGUUUGUUAGGGGGUUCUCUGUCUUCUACAUAGUUGGAUGAUGUUUGUUAGGGGAUUCUCUGUCUUCUUCUGGGUUGGAUGAUGUUUGUUAGGGGAUUCUCUGUCUUCUACAUAGUUGGAUGAUGUUUGUUAGGGGAUUCUCUGUCUUCUGGGUCGGAUGAUGUUUGUUAGGGGAUUCUCUGUCUUCUUCUGGGUUGGAUGAUGUUUGUUAGGGGGUUCUCUGUCUUCUUCUGGGUUAGUUGAUGUUUGUUAGGGGGUUCUCUGUCUUCUUCUGGGUUGGAUGAUGUUUGUUAGGGGAUUCUCUGUCUUCUACAUAGUUGGAUGAUGUUUGUUAGGGGAUUCUCUGUCUUCUUCUGGGUUGGAUGAUGUUUGUUAGGGGGUUCUCUGUCUUCUUCUGGGUUGGAUGAUGUUUGUUAGGGGGUUCUCUGUCUUCUACAUAGUUGGAUGAUGUUUGUUAGGGGAUUCUCUGUCUUCUUCUGGGUUGGAUGAUGUUUGUUAGGGGGUUCUCUGUCUUCUUCUGGGUUGGAUGAUGUUUGUUAGGGGGUUCUCUGUCUUCUUCUGGGUUGGAUGAUGUUUGUUAGGGGAUUCUCUGUCUUCUGAGUUGGAUGAUGUUUGUUAGGGGAUUCUCUGUCUUCUGAGUUGGAUGAUGUUUGUUAGGGGAUUCUCUGUCUUCUGGGUUGGAUGAGCUCCAUCGUGGCUGGAGGAGCAAUAGCCAGUGUGUGUGUUUCAUGUGUGGGUUAUAGGAUGCAGUGUUCAGGAAGCUCUAAUGUCAGCUGGGUAGUUUUCCAUAAGGGAGGAAUCUCACCACACAAAGCCACUCUACCAUAUUAGAUGGAGACCCUACAGGGUAUACCUUAGUGUUAAUCAAAGAUCUGACCAGCCCAUCCACUCACCCCCUUACCCCCUGCUCUCCCCCAUCCCCUCUCCCCUCAUCUCUUCAC
rnacentral:lncRNA from 1 species